GGAGUUCUUAACCUGCUAGUUGGCUGACCUUUGACAGACUUGCAGUAUUGCAUUGCUGUGUGACUUGAUUUUCCCAUUGGGAAAAAUGAGGAAGCUGUGCGUACCAGAGGGAGGAACGAGCCAGGGAGACAGACUGGAACCACCUCAGAAGCUUUGCCCCUCAGCCCGGAACCUGCCCUGUCUCCUCCCAGCUGAUGAGGACAAGUCCAGCCUGCGCUUGGGGAUCCUUCGUACGACCGUUCAGUGGUGAGUAGGUAUGACAGCAUUUUCUGAUUUC
rnacentral:lncRNA from 1 species